UACGUAGGGUGCGAGCGUUAAUCGGAAUUACUGGGCGUAAAGCGUGCGCAGGCGGUUUUGUAAGCCAGAUGUGAAAUCCCCGGGACUUAACCUGGGAAUGGCAUUUGGGACUGCAAGGCUCGAGUGCGGCAGAGGAGACUGGAAUUCCUGGUGUAGCAGUGAAAUGCGUAGAUAUCAGGAGGAACACCGAUGGCGAAGGCAGGUCUCUGGGCUGACACUGACGCUCAUGCACGAAAGCGUGGGGAGCAACAGG
rnacentral:rRNA from 1 species